UCAUUUCUGCAAAUCAAUAUUGCCCAUAUUAGGCUCAAUAAUCAUAGAGCUAAUCAAAUUAAUUUCUCAACUUGGAUACACAAAUUGAAACUUCUAAUCCAAAAAUAGAAAAAAUAUUGCAAGUUGAAUUUUGAGAUCAGAGUUUGGUAAAAAAAUUUGUCUGUCACUGUUGAAUCAGAAACACGGACCAAUUAAACCUCAUCAAAUCUCAAAAUUUUAAAGAAAUUUACAACCAAAAAAAUGGAGAAUUUUUUAAUAAAUUUCAAUAAAUAAAUAAAACAAAGGAAUGAUCAUCAGACUUAAAUACAAGUAAUCAUGGAAUAAAUCCAUUCAUAUUGUUGCAGUUUUUUUUUCUCAUCAACUGAUCGAUGACAAAUACAAUACGAAGGAAAGAAAUUUUCGGGGAAAUGAAAGCCAUAAACCAUAGAUCUGAAAGCUGAAAGGAAACGAAAUGAAACCUAGUUGUGAAGAAGAGGGGAAGGUGGCGAAAGUCUGGGUUUUCAUGGUAUUUAUAGAUCUAAUUGGGGAGGUCGCGCUAUAAACACUAGAUUGCAACGGCGGCGUUUACCACUGGGACUAGAGAAUUGAAAUGGGCUGAAUUGCUUAAUAAUUGAACCAUAGACAUUACAUUUAUAAUUGUUGAUAGUUCAUCUUCGACCAUUCUCCAAUCAGCUUUUAGCUUAUGAACCACAGUUUAAGCAUAAGGCAACCACUAAGUAGCUUAUUAACAAAUUAAAAGCUAAAAAAUUAAAUAUAAAUUGAAAUAAUAGUUUUUCCUUAAAUCUUUUUGCAAUAUUUCAGAAAAGAAAUUAAAAGAAAGAGGAAAAAGAACCUGGAGUUGAGAAGAGGGUUUGGUUUUCAAAUACAAACAAUCCCAUAGAGCACUCCAUUUUCCAUAGCAGUUAUCCAAAACUACUCCUCUAUAAUACUGUUGCAAUUGAUGAACCGGAGCUGCCCAACGAAUUAUUGAAUCAAUUCAUAUAAAAAGUUGAAAUUGGUAAAAAAAAAAAAUAGAAAAUAGAGAGAGGGUGGAAUACAAUAGCAAAACCAGAGAGCAUCGAAGCAUUUAGUGCAGGACAAGAACCCGAUCCAAAAACCACGAAACCAUCCCAUCUAAACAAACCACCCCAAAACAGGAAUGAAAAGGCAAAAAGAAAAAUGAUAAGCAAAAAAAUACAUAGUAGUCGAUAAACUGACUAAAGAACAACGAUACAAACAUCAACAGAUUUGGAAGGACAAACCAAAACAGUUUUUCUUAAAGCUGAGAACCAAAACUUUAACACUUCAGUUUACAGCAUUUAAACACUUCAAUUUGCAGCACUUUAACAUCUCAAUUAACAACAUUUAUACACCUCUAUCACAGCAAUAAAACAUCUCAUUUUCUAGCAACUAAACACUCGCUUUGGAUUUCACUCAAUAAUAUACUCCAAUGGACAUAUUAUAACGAGUCACUGGUUAGCCAUUUCAAGUUUCAAGAAUUCAAUAUUGUUUGGGACAUUUCGUCAAACAAUUCAUGAGUGUCCAAAUACCUAGAAGCACUGAAAGCCAAAGGAAGCGGGAAAGUACUAUAAAUGCAAAGGACAAAAAGCAAUAGAGAAAAAAAUCAAUGCCCUUGGAAACAACAGCGAAAACCUACUGCUCAUUCUUUAGCAUUUUUUUUCAGUCUCAUAAAAACCAUCAACUCAAUUUCCCUUCAUGUAAGGCUAGGUAACACGGAUGAAUAUAACCCUUUAUCUUUAACCAAAAUCCGAGUAUUUCACCACAUGUAUAUCAAUAAUCACAAAAAACUUCCUAUUCAGCUGAUAUACAGAGAUACCAUGGGUUUACCAAAAACUUCCAAUCAAAAUCCAUUCGCACAUCAUACCCAACAGAACACGAACAAUCCCAACUAUUUUAAAGAAAAUAUACCCAAUCCUUACUAAUAAAUGCAAGCACCUAGCAGUAUGAAAAAGAAAACAUAUAUGCAUACACGAAUCUUGACAAUCUCCACCGUAUAUGAUCAUGAAACCCAAAUCCAAAAAAAACCUUUGCAAUUAGCAAAUCGGUUGAAAUUCUACAAUUCUUCAAUCACUAUCAAUACUAACAAGCAUCCCAAUUAGAUUAUUAUUAUUUUUUAAAACUAAAGUACAUAUUUUUUAAAACUAAAGUACAUAUCAAGAAACAGAAUGUCCCAGUCUGGAAUCCUAUAUGCCGGUUUGGAUCGUUUAGUGGGUACUUCGCAUUUCUAUAAAGAAUGGAAAACUAUUGAAAUAAUUAUAUAUGCAUUAUUUAAAUUUCUGCAAAACAAUUAAUUAAAAUAUUUCUAAAAAUAUUCUUAUAAAUAUUAAAUUGGAUCCGACCUGGUUUAUCAUUUAAUAUAAAGGGGUUAAUAUAAAGAACAGUUCGGUGAUUGUAAACUUUAUUGAAAAAACAAUAAUUAAAUCCAAAUAAUAUUUGUUCAUGUAUCUGUCGUUUUUUUUAAACACCUACCUUUUUUAAUUUAGGUCACCUAUUUAGAAAAUCCUAAUAAUAACCAACUGAUAUAGCAUAAAACAACCACAAAGUAACUCACAGACCACAUCAAUAAAUUUCAAACACACAGCAAAAAAAAAACACAAGUAAAAAAGCAUAAUUCUUAAAUUAAAACAGAGAAAGCCGAAGAUAAUGUUGAAGCAAAGAUUCAUACCUGAAAUCAGUCUUCGAUGAAGCAGGGGUUACAAAAAUCGCAACAAAGAAACGGCAGAGAAAUAAUCCCACUGUAAUAUAAGUAAAAAAACAUUGAUAUGAAACCAAAAUAGAAAUGAAAAGGCAAAGACAGACAAAGACAAAGGUCGGGAUUCAUACCCCAAAAUUAGUCCCCGAUGAAGCAGGGGAUUUCAAAAACCACAAAAAACAGUGUAGCGAGUGUGUGUGUUUUGGCCUUUGGUUACCCAGAGCUAAAAAAAUGAGAGGAAAAAAAUUCAAAAGAGAUCGAGAGAGAGAAUCGAUAAAGAAAUGGGAGGAGAUUUGGGUUGAAGAGAUAUAUUUGAGGAUUUGUUAUGAAAGCAGAAGAAAUGAGGAAGAAAAUGAAAACAAAACAGGGAGACCGAGAGAGAUAGAAAGAAACGGCUAAUAAAUGGGUUUAUGUAGGGUUUAGGUUUCAAUUUGGGUUUUUAUUUGAGUUUUGGGUUCUGGUUUGAGAUUUCAAUUUUGAUUUUAGAUUAUUGAAAAUUUGUCGUCAGAAUUUUGACUCAUCACUUUAAUUUUUUUUACUUUUUUUAAAUUAAUUUCAUAUUUGACAAAAAUAAUUAUUUUUUAAACGGCUCAAUAAUUCCUACAAUAUCAAGCCAGCAAGAAAAAAGAGAUUGUAGGAAACCUCAGACAGCCAGUCGAGUUGACAUCAAAAUAAAUUAAAUAUUCAGUCGGUAAUUCCAACUAUAAUAAUGAAAUCCUCAUUGGCUUCCACAAUCCAUCCAUUUAUAAACUGUAAUCGCCGAAAACGGCUCCGUAGAUCACAAUGUUUCAGAUCCACUGGUUCCUAUCAGCAAGCGAAACAUGAAAUUUCUAUCGGUCCAAUCAUAGCAUCGCCGGUCACUGCUCUUGGCUACCGGCGACGUGGCAUCGGACCCAAAAAUGAUAGAUAAAAAAAAUCCAUUCAAAAGAAAACCCUCAGAGACCCAUUUCAAAUCACUCACACAGCGGAACACGCUUCGAGGAAGCACUCGCCUGAUUUCCCGGCCAACCAUCAAACACCUAAGAACAAAUAUCAGAGGGCUGAGAAUUGGCAGUUGGGAAGACGGGUAUGUUCCUUAGCGAGUUGCCGCCGCUGAUUAAAGUGUCAUACGGCACUUCCUAUCUAUGGGAAUUCUUCCUCACUGGGAUUUCAAACUAUAAAACACUUUUUCUUCUACAUUUCAAAACAAAUUUAAACCAAAACAAAAAAAAAUACAAAAAUAAAGAGUAAAAAGGAGAGUUCCGCAGAUAAACCCUAGAAUGACUUGUUCUUUUUAUUAUAUGGCGGAGAAACUUAGUAGGAUUUUAUAAAGAGCAACGGUGUUUAAAGAAACCCUAGAUCUCUAAAUUGGAAAUUUUAGAGAGAUUGAAAUUCAUCAAAUUGGGCUUAUUUUGGUGAUUUUAAAUAAACCGAAAGGGAUUUUCAAGGCCCAAAAUGCUUGAUGUAGGAUGCUCCUACAAACUCCAUAUGCCUAAGCUAUUGGUUUUAUUAAUCUGUUUCCAUCCAUUUUAAAAUAUAUAUAUAUUUAAUCUAUAAAUAUCAGAAUGUAAAAAUGAAUUAAAACAUAAUGAAAAUAUUUAUAAAAAAAAUUUGUUAAAAACAUUAUUAAAAGAAUUCAAAAUUUGCUCAGUUAUCCCUAAAUUUGACAUCCUACUUUUGGUUGAAAACAAUUUGGAGUAAUUCCGAGUAUAUUAAACCUUCACCGGCCAAUUCAAUCCCAAACUAGUUUAAUCCUUAUCAAAUAAUAUGAUAUUAUUAUUCAUGUCUUAUUCGAUUACUUUAUAAAAAAAAACUAAAUCCAAACGCUUAUAAAAAUUUAUAAAUUUAAUCCUCAAAUUGGUACUUAAAUUAUAUAUUUUUUCUCAUCUUUAUACCUAAUCUUUUUAUUUUAUUUUCAUCAAUAAAAUAAAAUAUUUAGAGAGGUUGAGUAAUUGGUUUCAUUAUUAUUAGGGGAGGGAACGGGCCUAUAUCCCUUUAGCGGAAUAAGAACAAAAAUUAACACAAGGAGGAAGAAAAAAUAUAAAACUAGAUCUUAAAUUCGAACUGCAGAAUAAGAACGAAUAUUAACACCAGUAAACUUAAAAAAUCCGAACCAGAUUCAAAAUAUUUUACUAAGAAAAAAAAUAAAACGAAUAAAAAUAGUAAUUUCUAAACCUGAAAACCAAAAACCAUAAAAUAAACCAAGAAAUAGAAAUAAAAAAGCAUAAUUCUUAAAUUAAAAACAGAAAACAGAAAAUACAAUGUUGAAGCAAUGAUUCGUACCUUAUGAAGCAAGGGAUUCCAAAAAUCUCAAAAAACAGAAACGGCACAAUGUCUUUGCAGUCCUUUAGGCGUCGGUUACAAAAAAGUUAAAAAACAUUAAAAGGAAAAUUUUAAAAUGAGACAGACAAAAUAAAAGAAAGAGUAAAGGGAAAAAAAAUGGUUAGAAAAAAAAAGGAAAAUGAAAAGAGAAUAAACUAUUAAAAAAUACCUAUUAUCACAAGUCACAUUAACUGAGACUCCAAAAUCAUGCCAAUUCUCCCAGCCCAAAAAACUAGGACCAUUAUCUCGAAUAGCAAAAAACCAAUGACCCAAUAGAACUAGAACAAAACGAACAAAAAGCCAAUCCAAAAAAAACGAAACCUUCCCAUCUAAACAAACUACCCAAAACAGGAAUGAAAAUGCAAAAAGAUAAAUGGUAAGCAAAAAAACACAUAAUAGUCGAUAAAUUGACUAAAGUACAACUAUACAAACAUCAACAGAUUUGAAAAGAUGAACCAAAACAAUUUUUCAUAACGUUGAGAACCAAAAUAGUUGCUGGGAAUUGAGAUGUUUUAAUAAUUCAACUAAUCCUUUAAUAACCAAUCCUUCACAUUUUAAGUAAAUAUAUCUUUAAUAAAAAUUAAACUCUCCAUCACUAAUUUCUAAUUUGUAUAUUAUACAUCGCAAAUAUAAUUAUUCUCUUCAUAAAAUCCGUUCCAUAAAAUAGAGGAUUAUCAAAAAUAUGUAUAUCUGCUCAGAAGACACGAAUUUUCUUCUCAUAGAUUUUUAAAAAAAUCUCUGAAGUCUGACAUGUGAAUUUAUUUCAUAAUUCAUCACAGCAGAAGUUUUAGAAUAAAGCAUUUUAACAAAAGAUCAAAUCAAAACAAUGUUCAAAAUUAGCUCUCAUUCUUUCUCUCAAAAUUUCUGCUCAUUUCUGCAAAUCAAUAUUGCCCAUAUUAGGCUCAAUAAUCAUAGAGCUAAUCAAAUUAAUUUCUCAACUUGGAUACACAAAUUGAAACUUCUAAUCCAAAAAUAGAAAAAAUAUUGCAAGUUGAAUUUUGAGAUCAGAGUUUGGUAAAAAAAUUUGUCUGUCACUGUUGAAUCAGAAACACGGACCAAUUAAACCUCAUCAAAUCUCAAAAUUUUAAAGAAAUUUACAACCAAAAAAAUGGAGAAUUUUUUAAUAAAUUUCAAUAAAUAAAUAAAACAAAGGAACGAUCAUCAGACUUAAAUACAAGUAAUCAUGGAAUAAAUCCAUUCAUAUUGUUGCAGUUUUUUUUUCUCAUCAACUGAUCGAUGACAAAUACAAUACGAAGGAAAGAAAUUUUCGGGGAAAUGAAAGCCAUAAACCAUAGAUCUGAAAGCUGAAAGGAAACGAAAUGAAACCUAGUUGUGAAGAAGAGGGGAAGGUGGCGAAAGUCUGGGUUUUCAUGGUAUUUAUAGAUCUAAUUGGGGAGGUCGCGCUAUAAACACUAGAUUGCAACGGCGGCGUUUACCACUGGGACUAGAGAAUUGAAAUGGGCUGAAUUGCUUAAUAAUUGAACCAUAGACAUUACAUUUAUAAUUGUUGAUAGUUCAUCUUCGACCAUUCUCCAAUCAGCUUUUAGCUUAUGAACCACAGUUUAAGCAUAAGGCAACCACUAAGUAGCUUAUUAACAAAUUAAAAGCUAAAAAAUUAAAUAUAAAUUGAAAUAAUAGUUUUUCCUUAAAUCUUUUUGCAAUAUUUCAGAAAAGAAAUUAAAAGAAAGAGGAAAAAGAACCUGGAGUUGAGAAGAGGGUUUGGUUUUCAAAUACAAACAAUCCCAUAGAGCACUCCAUUUUCCAUAGCAGUUAUCCAAAACUACUCCUCUAUAAUACUGUUGCAAUUGAUGAACCGGAGCUGCCCAACGAAUUAUUGAAUCAAUUCAUAUAAAAAGUUGAAAUUGGUAAAAAAAAAAAUAGAAAAUAGAGAGAGGGUGGAAUACAAUAGCAAAACCAGAGAGCAUCGAAGCAUUUAGUGCAGGACAAGAACCCGAUCCAAAAACCACGAAACCAUCCCAUCUAAACAAACCACCCCAAAACAGGAAUGAAAAGGCAAAAAGAAAAAUGAUAAGCAAAAAAAUACAUAGUAGUCGAUAAACUGACUAAAGAACAACGAUACAAACAUCAACAGAUUUGGAAGGACAAACCAAAACAGUUUUUCUUAAAGCUGAGAACCAAAACUUUAACACUUCAGUUUACAGCAUUUAAACACUUCAAUUUGCAGCACUUUAACAUCUCAAUUAACAACAUUUAUACACCUCUAUCACAGCAAUAAAACAUCUCAUUUUCUAGCAACUAAACACUCGCUUUGGAUUUCACUCAAUAAUAUACUCCAAUGGACAUAUUAUAACGAGUCACUGGUUAGCCAUUUCAAGUUUCAAGAAUUCAAUAUUGUUUGGGACAUUUCGUCAAACAAUUCAUGAGUGUCCAAAUACCUAGAAGCACUGAAAGCCAAAGGAAGCGGGAAAGUACUAUAAAUGCAAAGGACAAAAAGCAAUAGAGAAAAAAAUCAAUGCCCUUGGAAACAACAGCGAAAACCUACUGCUCAUUCUUUAGCAUUUUUUUUCAGUCUCAUAAAAACCAUCAACUCAAUUUCCCUUCAUGUAAGGCUAGGUAACACGGAUGAAUAUAACCCUUUAUCUUUAACCAAAAUCCGAGUAUUUCACCACAUGUAUAUAUCAAUAAUCACAAAAAACUUCCUAUUCAGCUGAUAUACAGAGAUACCAUGGGUUUACCAAAAACUUCCAAUCAAAAUCCAUUCGCACAUCAUACCCAACAGAACACGAACAAUCCCAACUAUUUUAAAGAAAAUAUACCCAAUCCUUACUAAUAAAUGCAAGCACCUAGCAGUAUGAAAAAGAAAACAUAUAUGCAUACACGAAUCUUGACAAUCUCCACCGUAUAUGAUCAUGAAACCCAAAUCCAAAAAAAACCUUUGCAAUUAGCAAAUCGGUUGAAAUUCUACAAUUCUUCAAUCACUAUCAAUACUAACAAGCAUCCCAAUUAGAUUAUUAUUAUUUUUUAAAACUAAAGUACAUAUUUUUUAAAACUAAAGUACAUAUCAAGAAACAGAAUGUCCCAGUCUGGAAUCCUAUAUGCCGGUUUGGAUCGUUUAGUGGGUACUUCGCAUUUCUAUAAAGAAUGGAAAACUAUUGAAAUAAUUAUAUAUGCAUUAUUUAAAUUUCUGCAAAACAAUUAAUUAAAAUAUUUCUAAAAAUAUUCUUAUAAAUAUUAAAUUGGAUCCGACCUGGUUUAUCAUUUAAUAUAAAGGGGUUAAUAUAAAGAACAGUUCGGUGAUUGUAAACUUUAUUGAAAAAACAAUAAUUAAAUCCAAAUAAUAUUUGUUCAUGUAUCUGUCGUUUUUUUAAACACCUACCUUUUUUAAUUUAGGUCACCUAUUUAGAAAAUCCUAAUAAUAACCAACUGAUAUAGCAUAAAACAACCACAAAGUAACUCACAGACCACAUCAAUAAAUUUCAAACACACAGCAAAAAAAAACACAAGUAAAAAAGCAUAAUUCUUAAAUUAAAACAGAGAAAGCCGAAGAUAAUGUUGAAGCAAAGAUUCAUACCUGAAAUCAGUCUUCGAUGAAGCAGGGGUUACAAAAAUCGCAACAAAGAAACGGCAGAGAAAUAAUCCCACUGUAAUAUAAGUAAAAAAACAUUGAUAUGAAACCAAAAUAGAAAUGAAAAGGCAAAGACAGACAAAGACAAAGGUCAGGAUUCAUACCCCAAAAUUAGUCCCCGAUGAAGCAGGGGAUUUCAAAAACCACAAAAAACAGUGUAGCGAGUGUGUGUGUUUUGGCCUUUGGUUACCCAGAGCUAAAAAAAUGAGAGGAAAAAAAUUCAAAAGAGAUCGAGAGAGAGAAUCGAUAAAGAAAUGGGAGGAGAUUUGGGUUGAAGAGAUAUAUUUGAGGAUUUGUUAUGAAAGCAGAAGAAAUGAGGAAGAAAAUGAAAACAAAACAGGGAGACCGAGAGAGAUAGAAAGAAACGGCUAAUAAAUGGGUUUAUGAGGGGAAGGUGGCGAAAGUCUGGGUUUUCAUGGUAUUUAUAGAUCUAAUUGGGGAGGUCGCGCAAUAAACCCUAGAUUGCAACGGCGGCAUUUACCACUGGGACUAGAGAAUUGAAAUGGGCUGAAUUGCUUAAUAGUUGAAAACGGAUCGAACAGUUUUCUUGUCCUUUAAAAUUCCAGCUCUUCCUUUAUGGGCUGAGUUUAGAUUUUGGGCUUUUUCUUUCGUUUUUUUUUUCUAACAUGUGUGGUGUAGGGGUAUUAUUGCCAAUGCAAGAGUACGUAAGUUCGAGUGUGUUGAAACAUAUUACCUUUUUAUUUGUAGGUUAAGAAAGGACUAUAAAUAAUUUUAGACAUUAUAUUAAAAAGAAUAAAUAUAAUCAAGUAAUGAAAUUGUUAAAAGAAAAUCAAAACUAUUUUUUUUAGAACAAAAGGAAUGCAAGUAAGGGAAUACAUAAGAAAUUGUUUUUCAAAAAACUGAUUAAGAUAAUUAUAAAAACAAAAAAUUCACAUCAAUUUCAUCCUAUAUAUUGAAUCUCUCCAAUGGCUAUGUGGAGAUGAUGAAGCAAACUGUCAUCAGUCGAUGUUGGCUGAAAUUUUACAAGUAGAUUAUUAACUAAAACCCCAAUUGAUUUUAACAUUUUGGUAAAGUUUCAUCUUUUAUUUUUAUAUAAUAUAUAAUAAUUAUUUAAUUUAUUUAUAUUUAAUUAUAUGUGUUUGAGAAUCAAAUUGAUAAAUUGUGUAAAUAUCAAGGACUAAAUAUGUUAUUAUACUAGUUAAAAAAGACAAUGUCAUUUAAUGGAAAGUGACUAAAAUAGAAACGAUCUAAAACGUCAGUGAGUACAACGUCGUAGAACAGCUGCACAAACAGCCAGCACGCAUAUCUGUAUUAGCUUUGCUUCAGAGUUCGGAGUACAUAAAAAUACACUAAUGAAGGUUUUAAAGGAGACGUCUGUGGCCAAUGAUAUCUCAAUUAGUACAUUAGACCGGCUAGUCAACAAUAUAAGUGCUGAUAACUUCAUUUACUUCAAUGAUAAUGAAAUUCCGCCAGGGGGCAGAGGAUCCACUAAAGCUUUACAUAUUACUACUUGAUGCAAAUGGUACACAUUGCUAGGGGUAUUGGUAAACAAUGGGUCAGCAUUAAAUGUAUUGCCUUUAUCCAUAUUGAACAGAUUACCUGUGGAUAGUUCACACAUGAAAGAGUGCCAGAACAUAGUGAAGGCAUUUGAUGGCACGCAAAGAAGAGUCAUGAGGAGAAUUGAGAUACCCUUAUUAAUUGGCCCAACUACUUAUGAGGUGGAUUUCUUGGUCAUGGAUAUUAAGCCCUCAUAUAACUGCUUACUAGAAAGACCAUGGAUACAUUCAGCAGGGCUAGUGCCUUCAUCCCUACAUCAGAAGUUGAAGCUAGUAUCAGAAGGGCGGCUGGUGACAAUAAACGCCGAAGAGGAUAUCAUCGCGGCUGUGACUAGCGAUGCGCCGUAUCUAGAGACGAGUGACGAGGAAAUUGAAUGUUCUUUUCAGUCUUUGGAGUUCGUGAAUGCAACCUUCAUUACGAAAGAAAAUAGAAUCCCGGUGUCGAAAAUCUCUAAAACCAUAAGAAUGGGAUUACAUAUGAUGGUAGGAAAAGGAGCUUUGCCAGGAAGAGGGCUUGAAAAACACCUUCAGUGCAGAAUAGUGGCCCCGGUACUGAAAGAAAAGCAGGAUCAUUUUGGCUUAGGAUUCAAGCCAGAUUUAAGGCAAAGAAUAAAAGAUUUGGAAAGGAGGCAAGAAAGAAGAAGGGCUCGUUUGAGUGGUGAAGAAAUUAAGUGGGAACUCAUGAUAAUUCCACAUAUAUCUAAGUCCUUUGUGUCGAGAGGGGUUAUUCAUGCUGAGCAGAAAGCGCGAAAGAAGGGAGACAUCGUAGCAAUGUGGGACUUGCAGUACUGGACUUGCAAGGGGAGAUUUUGAUUUCUGGAAAUGGAAUUGAAGUUGUACAGAUUAUGAAAACUUACAUUCAAUUCAUCACCUUUUGAUUAAAACCAACGCCAAACCAAACCCACCUUCACCCAAAUCCUAUACAUCAAUCAAAAUAUAAAAUAAAUAACCCAAAACCAUAAUAAUCCCAUAAGAAAAACCAAGUUUUGUUUUUGGAAAAAAGCUUUAAAAAAUGAAAAUAUUAUGAAUUGAAUAAUAAACCCCGAAUUUCAUUCAACAACUUUCAAUCAAAGGUAGCACCAAGCCAAACGCUCCCUCGCUCAAAUCCCACAACAUCCAACAAAGUCAGAAUAAUAAAACAAUAACCCAAAACUAGAAUAAUCUCAUAUUAAAAACCAAACGAACUUGAAACAACUAAAAAAACAAAAAUAAACAAUGUCUCACCCACUGUCGAUUAACGAAGACUUUGUUGGAAAGGUGCAUUCUUUGACAAUGCCCUUAUAGUGGAAGAAGAUGUUGAAUUCUAGGUUUCUGGUUAGAAAUUCAAUGGGUUUGGGGGAGUUCCUUGGAAAUCUAGUCUGAUCAAAGGGAAGAGGGGAAGGAGAGGAUCAUUUCGGAAAGGAGCAGUAAGCCAGAAAAUCACUGGCGUCGGUAGAACAAAGAUACGGCUAGGAGAUUUGAGGUUGAGAGAGUUUAGUAUUGUAUUUUGUUUAAGAAUUGAUUUAGUUAGAAGAGAUAAUAUGAUUGUUUAGUUUUUAAAGCUAAUGAUAAAGUUUAGGGAUAAUGCAAGACAAAUGGUUUAAAAACAAUUAGAAAAUAAAUUAAAUACUAGACUAGCAGCUAUAACUAUUAAAUGUAGAAAUUUGAUUCGACAAUAGAAAUACAAUAAUACAAAUUGAAAUAAACCAAAUAAAAAUAAUAAUAGAAAAGGUAAAGACAAGGCUCCCUCCCUGUGUAUGGAUGGCUAUAUCAUGGUAUAAUUAGAGAAACGAAUCAUCAAUCUGUGCAUGGUUUCUGGAUAAAACUUUCUUGUAAAUAAAUAACAAGGUCUCUUCAUUGAAUUCCACAAGCAUGGCCCAUUUAUCCCUCUCCUCUGCACCAACAAACACCACACCUAUUUGUUCCUUCUUUCUUCCAAACAAACAUGCAUAAAAUCUCAAAUUCAAAACAAAAUACAGUAGGAAACAUUUUUUGACCUUUGGACUACUUGUGAAAUGUAUGCUUUCCUCAAUGAAUUGCACAGUAAAUCAAACACCAGUUUCAAAGUUUGUACCAACAAACUCACAUUUGGGAAUGUAUAUAUAGAUGGACGUACCGUAAGGUUCUUGAGGAACUCAAAUGUUAUAUCUUGGGCCCUAAAUGCUCUAGGAUGUCACUUCCCUUUUGACCAAUCUACAUACGUUACUGACCUAUUUGCGACUCCACUAGAAUUAGUCAUUUGUUGUAUAUAAAAAUAAUUGUUUUCACGACGUCACUUCUAUAUAUAGUAAGUAUUGAUACCAUAAAAAAAAGUCUGAGGUACCAACAUUAAAAAAAGUUGGCAAAUAAUUCCUGUCUGAAUAGCAAUUGCGUCUAUCCAUAUGUGGCUGACACAACAACAUAAGAUUUUUGUUAACGAAGCGGCACCCAUCAGGAUUUAUUUUUGAUUUAAAUUAAAAAAUGAAAAGUAUUACAAGUUUAAUAAUAGAAACUGAUAGGCAAGCAACAUUCUAAGGUUAUAUAGUUACUUCAUUAUAGCAACAAAGUAGCUUUGCUCAACAAUUACCUUGCAAUAAUUCUUGAAUUUUCUGUAAUAUAGGUUGUUCGCCAUAACUAUUAUGGCAUGCUGACACUUCAUGUUGAACCACUAAAAUGAAAUAUGAAUCAAAACCAACUAAAAGUAUAAGAAACAUCAUUGCCAUGUUUUAUUUUUUUGCAAAAAAAAAAACUAUUACAAAAGGUCCAUGAAAACAUAUUCAGGCAAAACCUUACAAUCUCUUGCCAGAAAAUAUUGUUAAAACUAAACACUUACAGCUAUUUAUCUACUCGGCACAAUAAGCUACUAUGGCAGUUAAUCAUAAUAAUUUUUAAAAGACAGGGAAUAGGACUUUACAACUACACAAAUCCAUGAAAAGACAUCCACCAUAGUCAAUUGUCAUAUUCUACUUACAAAAUACAUAGGUAGUUAUCUUAGAAACUAUUUGCUGGCUUAAAUUAUAAAUUUAGAAGUUGCAUGCCAUAAAAUCAUAGAAAUUAAGACAUGAUCAUUUCAUUAUGCACAACGCAAACCUUACCCUAACAAGUAAUUGCACAACUAUCUAUGGUUUGGACUAUAAAUUUUACCGAGAGAAAAGUAGAGUAAUACAUGACGGCAUCCUUACUAAAAAGGUAACUAUGAGGAAUAUAAGAUCCACUAUAAGGUGCUUUUUAUUAUUAUAAUAAUGAUGAUUAAAAUUUAGAUAAGGAUUAUGUAUUAGAUAAAACCAAUGAUGUGGACAUAAAUGGUUGAUGCAUAAAAUAUAGUUUAGAAAAGGAUUUCUAAUAAAAAUAUGUAUUACAUCUUUUGUUUAAGCCUAAACAAUCGAGCUUGUUCUUAUAUUUCUCUCUUCUUUUAUGUUUCCCUCUCUAAACUUUUUCUUUGAUUCUUCUAUCCCUUCCAAGAAUUUGGUGUCAAGAACCUUAUAUGAUCUUAAAGGGCUUACAAAUCUUUAAGAGUUGAGUAAGAAGUUAGCUAGCAUUUGUCAACACCAAAUGGUUUAAGAUUGUUGAUUUUUGCCUCCACCACCUACCUUUUUAAGUGAAAACAAAUAAAUAUAGGCUGCCAACAUGAAGACUUAUCUGAAUGUUUUUUAUCUUUACAAUGUGGUUGGAAAUGAAAGAAAGAACACUAACUUUUGGUCAAUCCAUUUAUAACUCAGACAAAGAAUCAUAGCAAGAAAAGGAAAAGAGAUAUAAAGUCAAAAGUUGUAACAAAUCAUCCGUUCUAAAGAAAAAUUUAAUUAGAAUCAUAAUAUGACAUGUUCAUGGAGGACUUCCAUGGUAAUAACUAGACAAAUACAAGUGCUUAACCUCAAAAGAUAAUUUUAAGUUUUAAAGACGAAAAAGACUGAAACUUUGAAAGAGUACAAAGACAGACUCAUAAAUAUAAUGAAGAAGCUCAAAUUACUAGGGAGAGGAGAUGAAAGACAAAAGAGUUGUAAACUUGAAGACAUCAAAUACUUGACUAAGAUUUUUUUUGGCAAAACUAAUUUACGCUUUUGGGGUCGAGAGUAAAGGACGGUUAUUAUGCAAAGGAUUCAAUAAAAGGUGUAUUUAUGGCCAAAGAGAAAGUCAAAAUGCAACAUGAGUACAAGAACGAAAAAUCAAGAGAGAGAGGAAACAAGAAUAAUGUAAAAAAUGGAAAUAAAGGAAAAUUUACGUCAUGUUCACAUUGCAAAAAAAGGAAAAACAUCUGGAGAAAUAUUGCUACUAAAAACUAGACAUAUAAUGCAAGUCUUGCAAACAACUAGGCCACAUGGAGAAAGUUUGGAAGAAAAACCAACAACAAGAUCAACAAGCUAAAGGAUCAAAUGUCCUACAACAAUAGGAUGAUGAAGUUUUGUUUCUUCUUGCUAUGCAAUAAUGGCUCAUUGAUAAUAAAAGCAUUCAUUAUAUGACAUCAAAUAUCUACUUAUUCGAGGAGUUGGACAAAACUUGUUCCAAAGCCAAAAUUGGUAAUGAUAAGUUCAUAUAAGUUAAAAGAGAUGAGCUAUGAUAGUCAAGACACCCUAAGGUAAAACACCAAUUAAGAUGUUUUAUUUGAAUAAAUAGAUAAAAAUGUCCUCAAUGUAGGACAAAUACUAGAAAAGAAUUAAUUUUUGGUGUUUAAGAUAAAACAUGCAUAAUUUAUUAUCCAUCAGGCGAUGAACUCUUAACUGUUAGUGUAACAGCCUAAUUUUCAGUGGUAUCGGAACAGUGAUUCGAGAUCACUAAAUCUGACAAAUGAGUAUGAAAUAUUAUUAAUUUAGUAAGUAUAAGUUAAAUGUGAAGCUAGGAAAAAUUUUGAAACAGUGAAUAGUGUACUAAAAAUAAAUAUUAAAAUAAUUAGAAUAAAAAACAAGGUAUCGAGACCUCGGGAAUUUUAAAUCGAGCCAUAAAUAUUUUUAUAAAUAUUUAUAGAGUGUUAAUAAGUUAGUAUUAAAGUUUCGUCAAGAAAUUUUAAAGUUCUGAUAGUUAAUUGAACAAAAAGGACUAAAUUGUAUCAAAUGCAAAAUUGUGAGAAAUGAUUAAAUAGCUUAAAUGAUAAAAGAAAGAGGGUUUAAAAGACAAAUAGACCCAAUAUAUCUUUGGGCUGAACGGCAAGGGCAUGAAAUCAGCAAGAAAAUAAGGAGAAUUAAGGGAAAAAUUGGAAAAUUGCAAAAUUUACUUAAUAAAGCUAGGACUAAAGUGGAAUUAUCUAGAUUUCUCUUUAUUUUUCUGCAUUCUCAUCGGCAAAAACACCAUGAAAGAGUUCUCUCAAGCUGGUUUUUCAUAUUUUUACUGCAAGUAAGUUCAAUUCUUGAUUAUUUCUUGAAAUUUUUAUGUUUUCGUGACUUUUACAACUAGGUCCACUUGUUGAAUUCAUUAGUUUUUUUAUUCUAUGAAAGAAAUUGAAAGUUUCUAUGAAUAUGUAAUGGAAGUAUAUGAUGAUUUGGCAUGGAAUUAGAGCUUUAAAUUGUUUAUAUGCUGAUUUUAUUGAAAGAAUUGAAUAGAAAGUGAAUGUUUGAGACCUAAUUGUAAAAGAGUUUGAAGUUAGAGUUUUAUGUAAAAAAUUCUGAAUUUAAAUAGUUAUGAAAUAACUUAUAAUGUCUAGGAAAAGUAUUAAUUGAGAAAAUUAUCUUAAUUUAGGGGUUAAUUGAGCAAGGACUGAAUUGUAUGAAUUGUGAAAUUUGGGGCAAAAUGGAAAUCAACAUUUUGCACUAAAACUGUUUUGGACAGCAACAGUGGUCUAACUUUGAAAAAUCACCAAAAAUUGUAGAAAUGGAAUUAGAGGAUGAAUAAAAUAUGAAAUUAAAGCUUAUUGAGUCUAGUUUCUUAUAAAAGAAAAGAUGUAAGAAAUGGAAUUGUAAAUCAUGAGAUAUGAUAAAUUUUUUGAGGUAAGAUCAGAAUGAUUUCGGGUUCCCCUGUUUUGACUUUGUAAAAUAAUAAAAAAUUGGAUAAAAAUAAUUAGGGGAUUAUACUUAUAUUUUUAGAAUCCUGAAUGAGUCUCUUUGCAAGAGAAUCAAACGGUAACAUCAUUCAAAUUCUGUACGAGGAGAUAAUUAAUUUUUAGUCAAGAAGGGUCGGAACUGUCAGAUAGCAGAACUGGGGAGAUUUCAAUGAAUAAACUGUAUUAAUUGGCCCAGCCAAAAAUUAUGAAAUCUUUAUGGUAAUAAGAUAUGUGAGUCUAGUUUCAGGGAAAAUUAGCGGAUCUUAAUUUGGAGUUCCGUAUCUUCAGAUAUAAAUAAUUCAGUGACUAUGACACGGGUGGAUAGCUUGAAUAUUCACAUAAGUAAUUAGUGAAAAUUAUGGAUAAGGUUACUUACAAGUGUGUUAUUUAUACCAAGGAUGUGGAUGGAGAGGAUGAGGAGGAAAAAUAUAUGAAUGACUCAUGUAUAAAUUGAUCACAUGCCCGAUUAUAAUCGAUAAGUGUUGGAUUAGAAAUGAUAUAAUGUUUUAUUUGGAAUAUUUAUUAUGAAAUUAUGAUUAUCGUUAUAAUACAAAAAUUGAACUUGUGAGUUUAUGUGGCUAAAUUUUAGUGAUUAUUUGUUAAUUUUAUGAAUUUCAUGAUGUGUUACUUCAUAUGUAUCGAUGAUAAAAUCGUGAAUAAUGUAUGAGCAUGAAAAUUGAAUAAAUGGUCAAAUUGAGCAUUUCAGUUCAGUGACAAGAUGAAUUGAAGGAAAAGACCAUAGUUGGACCAUGGCAACAAGUGAUAAGUGAUAGCUUCGACUUAUCUGAUCAAGGACAAAUGAAAGUGAUAAGUGAUAGCUUCGGCUACACUUAUCUGAUCAAGGACAAAUGAAAGUGAUAAGUGAUAGCUUCGGCUAUACUUAUCUGAUCAAGGACAAAUGACAAGUGAAAAGUGAUAGCUUCUGCUACCUGAUCAGUGAAAAGUGGUAGCUUCGAUUACCUGAUCAGUGAAAAGUGGUAGCUUUUGUUACCUGAUCAGUGAAAAGUGGUAGCUCCGGCUACCUAAUCAGUGAAAAGUAGUAGCUUCGACUACCUGAUCAGUGAAAAGUGGUAGCUCCGGCUACCUAAUCAGUGAAAAUUGGUAGCUCCGGCUACCUGAUCAGUGAAUUGUGGUAGCUUCGGCUACAAGUGACAAGUGAUUUCCGUAUAAGAUCAUAUCUGGGCUAUGGCAUCGAUAUAUGAAUAUGUGUAAGACCAUAGCUGGGCUAUGGCAUCAUUAUGUGAAGAUGUGUAAGACCAUAAUUGAACUAUGACAUCGAUAAAACGAAGUACUCAAUUCCGUAAGACGUUCACUAAUUUGACAAAGUUUGGUAAGUGUUACAUGGAAUUAUGUGAUACAAGGAAGUACGAGUUGAUAAUAUAUGAGUGUAGAACUUGGUUAAUAAAUGAAUUCAUUUGUGAUUAUAUAAUUAUUCAUCUUAAACGUACUAUCCAUAUGUAUUGAUAAUUCAAAUGUUUUAAUGAAUAAAGUUCCGACAUGAAAUAAAUUGAACACGAGACUAAUAAUUAUGAAAUUGAACUCGAAAUUCAUGAAAAUGACAGUUAUUGAUAUAUGGAUAUAUGAAUAUGGAAAAUGUUUGAUAAAUGUGUUUAUUCAUAAUUAUGGAAUUAUAUACCUCAUGUGUACUAUUUGCAUAAAGAUGAUAUUUCAUAUACUUUGGUUAUUUAAGCUCAAAUAUGAAAUAGUAUGAAAUCAAGAUAAGUUGUUAUGAAAACAUAUUUAGAUUACAGAGAUAUUGCUGAUAUAUGUUGUAUAAUUACAUAACGUGAAAUUGUGUAUAUAUAUGAGAAAUUUAUUGAGAAUUGAGGCCAUACACAUUUCUUGUUAUUUAUAUGAAGUGUACGACUGUCAAGGGUGAUGAAGUUAUAAAUAGAGAGUUACACGGGUUGAAAACACGGGUGUGUGACUCUCCAAAGUGUGAAAAUUUUCUAAGUGUUGCAAAAGUUUCAUAUGUUUACGGUUUGGUCCCGAACCACCCUGAAUGUAUGUUUUGGGCCCCGUAGGCCCAUAUAAGGGACGUUAAACAUAUGUAUGAAAGUUUUUAAUUUAGAAGAAAUUUUAUGGCUGAUUUUUACAUGAUUGAUCAUAUUAAGUUCGGUAAUGCCUCGUACCCUAUUCUAAGCUCGAAAUACGGGUAGGGGGUGUUACAGUUGGCAUGAAAGACAAAUGUUUCUCCUUAAACUUUGAUUAAUCUAGUUCAUCAACUUAUACCGAUUCAAUUAAUGAAUUUGAAUUGUGGCAUAAAAGGAUGGGUUACUUUUAUAACAUCCUCAAAUUUUUUAUGUCAAAAUUUGUGUCAUCUCGGUGGUAGAGCUAAUUAAAAAUUUGUAAUUAUAUUAGACUUCAAGAAAGACUCUAAAGACUAACUUGUAAUUAUUUUAAUGUGACACUAAAGAGUGGUAGCAAUGUAAUUAUGUUAGACUUAAUAAAGGCUCUAAGGACUAACUUGUACGAGAAAGUAAAGUAACAUGCCAAAUCUAGAAUGAAUAAGUGGAGAGCUUGGAGAUUUCUUGGACUUAAGUGGCUAGUUGGCAUAGCCUUAAUAAGGAAUUAAACCAAGAUUUGAGUGUAAUUAUACAACUUUGUUAAGUAAGUGAAGAGCUUUAAUACUUUCCGUGAAUUUCCACUAGCUAUUUUAAGGUGUAACUUUGUUCUCAAUUUGGCUCUCUCUCUCUAGCAAAAACUACAUUAUUGAUGCGGUCGUUGAGAGCACCAAAAAUAUCCUAUUCUCUGUAAAAUAACGAAAAAUAAUACUAAAUGUGGAAGUAGGGUCGAAUCCUCAGGAACCGGAUUAUACGGAUACUUAUUUCUCGAAAUCCUGGGCAGAAUCGUGCCCAAGAAAGCUUGCGUUCCUGAAAAAAAUAAAAAACAGAAUUAAAAGUUUUGAUUUGGAAACGAAAAUAAAAUAAAAACAGAAUUUAAAGUUGACUGAAGUUGUGAUUACGAAAAUAAUAAAAAUAAUGAAGAGAGUUAAAGGAAAAGAAAUUCUUAUUGGAAGAUUUCUGCCUCCAGUUGUCUCAUUCCGCCUUGGGUUCAAUUCUCGGCUUUUGGAUGACCCUUCUCGAAUCAAGUAAGCCAGUUAUGGUGGAAAAGGACGCCUACGACCACCAGCUUCAAAGAUUAGACUUAUGAUUUUUAGGGAACCUGACUCUAGCCAGAAAUCUAUGCUAGAUCAACGCUUCUCAAUGGCGAAUCCCACGCCAUUUUGUCUCUUUGGCUCGCCAAUCUCUGACGCAGUAAGUUAACAAACCGACUGUGUAACCCUUCCAAAACACACAAUGCGGCUGCCUUUACAUAUGCUGAAAAGCUUACUUCUUAAGGGCCUUGGACGGAAGCGUCAGCCCGUAGUGCAGAGAAACGAUAAAUACUUGGCGAGAAGGCUAAGUACAUAUUCUAAGCCUAAAGAAUCCUUUUUGGGGAAUGUCAACAACUUUCGGCUAGAUGGGUUUUAGUGGCUCACGAUAGUGGUGGAAAAGAAAAGAAAUAUAAAGAUGGAAAAGGAAUUUUUAUUAAAGGAAAAUAUGGAAAGAAACAAAAGCCUAGAGGAGGAGAGUGUUUACAUAAAAAGAUGAACAACCAAAUAGAGUCAUUUCACCCCCUAUUUAUAGUACUAGGAAGAUAGUCUAAUUUGACUUAAAUUCUAAAAAGAUAAAUAUAUUUAAUUAAAGAUAAUUAAAAUAAAAUCCUAAAAUUAAAUAAUCCUAAUAAUUAUCUUAAUAUUAAUUAUCCUAAUAUAAAAAUAGAGUCUUAUAAAAUAAAAUCUCUUCUUUUUGCAUUUUCAGUCCUUGUGUCUUCUAUGCUUGCACUUUUGGCACAAUCUUUUUCCUCUGUCGCAUAUCAGCCCAUUUUUUCUCCAAAUUCGUAUUUUUGCCCAUUAAUUUUACUUUUGCCUCCAAAUCAGUCUCUAAAAGAUAAAAUAUUAUAUAUAGCAUAAAUUAGCAGGAUCAUACUCAGAAUAAUCACAUAAUUAAUAAAAUAAAAUACGUUAUUCUGGAGUAUUAUCAAAUUACCCCUACUUAGCCCAUGCUUGCCCUCAAGCAUGGUUCCUAUCCACUAUGAAAGUUAGAUUCUGCUAUAAAAGAAAUACCACUCUAAAGUUUCAUAAGAAUUAGUUAGAAAUGCAUAUGAAAAAUAAAGAGAACCCUAAGCUUGCUUUAAGUAAAACAAAAAAAGUUUUCCAAUUAAUACACAUAGAAAUUAAAAUCGAUUUGAAUUAUUUCAUGGAAAUUAGGUAAAUUACUAAACUUACCAAGACACCCUCUUUGUUUCUUCCUUUAACCCCAAAUUUUAUUUAUUUACAUAUUUUUUUUUGCUUUUUCAUUUUCUUUCUUUUUUUUAUUUACUUAUUUAUUUAUGUAUGUUUGUAUGUUGAACUUUUGACGCGAAGAGUGAUAACAGCCAAGCACCAAACCUCGGUUACUCAGCCCAACAUACUUUUUAUUUUUUAUUUUUCCUAAAAUCAUGUGGAACCUUUUGACGCGAAGAGUGAUGACAACCAAGCACCCCACCCCGAUUACUCAGCCCAACACAUUCUAAAGAAUUAAUUCCGGUUAGCAGAGUUUUAACUAUCAUGUCACACAAUCUUUUGACGAGAAGUAGAAUGACAACCCAAGCACCCUACCCCGGUUACUCAGUCAGUCACAUUCUAAGCUGUACUCAUAACCACGAAAAAAUUAUUAACAAUUAAAAGAAAUUUAAGUGUCAAGAGCAAGUUUCAAUAAUCACCUAAUAGCCAUGAACAUAAAUUAAGCAUGCAAUCAUUUUAAAUGUUCACUUUAUAUUAAACUUGAUUAAUUUUACGAAAAGCAAGACAGAGUUAACUCUAUUAAUCACAAUUAUUUUUAGCCUAAUAAAAAUGAAACUGUGGAGAUGACAUCAAUUAUGAAAAAAAUCAUAACUUCCUCAGAAGGCAAGAAUCAUGCUUGUGGGGCAAACAGUAAGCAAUUCCUGGUCAAAAUCUUGGGCUUGAAAAGAGACAGCAUCUUCUUAAAAAAAAUAUGGACAAAAUAGGGUCUCAUCAAACAGUAACAAAAACACAGCAGCAACAUCGACCAAAAUCACAGUAGAAAAUGACAGUAAUAAUUAAGAGUUCCUUCCCCCUACUUAAAACACAUUGUCCUCAAUGUUGACAAAAAGAAAUAAAUAGGUAGAAAGGUUUAGUAAUACUCCCCACGUAGUUUACCGUCGAUCACGCUUGAUGGCAAGGAGUUCGGUGAGUUGCUGGCCAAAUGUAUCAAGUCGAGCCUCAAUGCGCUCUAAGCGUUGCUCAACGGUCAAUGUUGGUUGAGCUUGGGCGGGUGCUUUAUUAUGAGUUUGUUGGCGAAAGACUCGCUCGGAUUGUGAAGAACGAAUACGGGGAGGUACAAAACUGAAUAUGAUGGAGUGCCACGAAGUAAUCCCAUUGAGUCGAGGCAUCGAGCAUCCAAAGGACUAAUGUUUGACUUCCAGGAAAAUGCAGGAUGAACAGAAUUUGCCAACUCACAGGUGAAUCAGGAAUUAUUUAAAAAGAAAAAGGACUAAUGUUAAGUUUGAUACAAAUUUCCCUCGAUUUUCCUCGAUCAGAAACCAAACAGAAUAAAAAGAGAUGAAGAAAAAACAAGAUUUUUUUAAAGAAUCAAAAUUUAUACCUUAAAAGAAACACUAGCACUACCUUGACUCACUCAUUCGGAAGAAGCUACCACUGAUUCAUGAAUUCAAACCUUUUCUUUUCCUUUUUCGAGAGAGAGAAAGAAGCUAAUGACAAUGGAUCUUGAUUGUAAAAUAAAAUAUUUAGAGGGGUAGAGAAAUGUAGUUCCCUUUUCAUGAAUGUCAAGACAAUGAGAGAACAGUGCAAGAUAUAACAAACCUGGUUGGCGUAACUGAUACCCAUGUUUGCCCAAGCACGCACAUAGUUUGGCUUCAAAUAUAGUGCCUAAAGAUCCAGACAUAGACCAAAAGACUAAAUUCAAUAGUGCUGAAAAUAUGGCCACCACAGGUAAAGGGAAGUUUAUCAUCAAAUAGUUUUAAAUGGACAAUCUCAGUAACAGAGGCUAAACAAAUCAAACUGCAUAUGCAAGAUCUGACUGCAUUAAAAAAGGCAUUUUGAAAUAGAUGAUCAAGGGUAUAUGUAAAUUGAGGAAGUGCAUAAUCAAAUCAUCUAAAAUAACAAAUAGCUUCAAAAAUCAAAUAACUAAUUACAUGGAGCUUAAUAGAAGAGCUAGUCUGUUUUCUAAGGUCCAACUAGGUGCAACAUGUUAUUUGGAUAAUCUUUUUAGCAGCCUAAGGUUACAAAGAUGGAGCAAGUAAAUAAUUCAACCCUAUAAGAGAGCUGUAUAACACACCAAUGCAUCACUUUACAAUCGAAAGAUAAGAAAGAAGAGAAAUAGAGGAAAAGAUGAUGCAACCCAUAAGAGUUUGGCACACAGAAGAUUGACAUGUUGGGUUAUCACAUGUUUUGCAUUUCUUUAUGCCAUCCUUUCAAUUGAUUAAGCACAAGCCAAGUCCUAGACACACUUUUUUGUAUAGAAGCGAAAAAGCCCCCUUGAUUCAAGAAGCACAAAUUUACAUAUUCACCUUAAUUUACUCAAAAAAGUGAUUUUUUUACAUCUUGCACCUCAAAUGGUUCAGGUAGUUACAGCACCCUUGCCGACAUUGUCAACACCUUCAUAAUUCAUUUUUUUUUUAUUCUGGCCUAACAUGCAAAAUAGUGACCAACACACCAUACAAAUUGAUUCUUAGUAAAAUCCUAGUACUCAUAUAUUUUGAAUUUCACACAUUACAGGUGCUCCAACUUAGUAAAGAGAACCCCAAAAUUUUAGGAUAGGGAAAAUAAAUUUUUAAUUAUAAAAAAAGUAAUUAUGAAAUUAACAUAUCAGAUGGUAUACAGAUAGGACAGCACUAUUCAAGGGGGAAUCAUGAAGAAGCUACCUGUUGAUAAGGUAUGUUGCACCAGGCUUGUUCCAAAGAGAAUAAUCAUUAGGUUUAAGUUUCAAAGCAGUUUUGAAAGAUGCAAUGGCCUUAUCAUAUUCUCCCGACAAAUUAUACUGAACACCAAGGACAAUGUGUACAUCAGCAUCCUCAAGAGACAUCUGACCAACUUCAUUGAAUAAUCUAGCAACCUGUAUGGCAGAAAACACUUCGAUUAACACCAGAAUAUAACAAUAACAUUUCCAAAAUGUAAUGUUAGGGAUAAGCUUCUAGUAAUCUUAAGGAAAAUUAUAUCCUGUCAUCGUAUGUAAAAAUCUAAGUCCAAAAUAUAAUCACUGUAGUCAUGGAAACCAUAUGCAAAAAAAGACACUCUUGUAAUCACAACAUUCACAACAUAAGCAAACUAUCCCACAGUAACAUUAGAGGAAGUGGCUUACACUUAAACCAAGAUUGCAAUAUCAAGGCAUUGUUCCAAAAGACAAAAACCAACCAAAAAAACAAAGAAUUAUACCCUAGUGUACUUACAUCAGCAUAAUACACAGAAUCAGCAAGCUCCGGUGGCGCAAGAGUGCCAUACUUUGGGUGAGAUACUUUAAAGAAACAGUCUGCUCCAAUUCUGAACUUUCAAACAGUAUUAUUUGUUUGACACUCCAAAAUUUUAAUCUCAUCUUGAUUAAAGCAAUAAGCUUUCACUAACCAUUUGUAUGACUCGCACCAAGAGCAAGAAGUACUUCCAGAUUGGUAGGAUCGGCGUCUUGAGCACGCAUCAUUACUGCAAUAGCCUGUACAGAGAUAUCUAAUCAGUGAAUUACAUUUUGUCUACAAAGUCAAAUAUAUGGACCCCAGUAAAGACCACAUAAAACUGCAGAUUCAUUAAUCAAGAAUAACAGAAGUAUAAAAAGGUCUUGCAUAAUCCAUGUAAGUCUCAAGAUUAUGACAAGCAGACACAUUAAUCAUCCAAAACAAUUUGCAAUAAAUGUGAAACAUUACACUUCAUAGGCUUGAUAUAGACAUAGUUUAAGAUGGAACCUUAUCCAUUCAAAUUAUUUUUAAUUAAGCCAAAAUGGUUUUGACAUGGUUCAAGAAUAAAUAGAAGUGGAUGAUAAGUGAAAUGUAAUGCACUACUAGUUCAUGUGACAACAAAUGAUAAUAGGUUAGAUCCAGAACAUUAGCAGCCAGGCAAAGACUGCGGCCUUAGAUCUGGUACUCUGACUGAAGCCUCAGGCCACUAAGAUAAACAUGAUAUCAAUCAUAUUGCAAACUUCAAUGUUUAAACGAAAAAUAGCUCAUUCUAUCCCUUUUCAGUCAAAGUUUUCAUAUAUAAGAAAUGAACAUUGCAUGGUACACCAAAGUGGCUAUAUCAAGCCAGCAAAUACAAACACAAAAUGCAGCGGUACAAGAAAACAGAUCCUUUGUGUUCAAAGGUUUUCUUGCUAGCUAAACCAAUAGGUUGUUCUCUUUCCUAAAAUAUGAUAGUAUUCACAGGGCAUUAGACAUGAUUCAAAAUUAUUUAGAUUCAGAUGGAAUAGAAAGGUAAAUGGUAAACCUUGCCAGGCAAAGAAUCAUGUUGAGUAUUUGUUUGUUAUGGUUGAGUAUUUUGAGAUAGUUAUAUGUAGCUAACUUUGAGUAUUAUAUUGAGAUGAAAAUGGUUAAUAUGUGUAUGAGUGUGAAUGUGUUGAUUUGCUGAAUGGAUGAAAAGGAAUAGGUAUGUUUAAGCUAGCAUAAAGUUGGAUAAUUUCGACAAUCAUGGAUGAAAAGGAAUCGGUAUGUUUAAGCUUGGGGAAUCCGUGAUGCAUUGUACAAUAAUCGACCUUGCGAACAAACCAGAUUAUUAGAAAACCAAAAUACAAUUACUACUGCUUUGACAGUUAAUAUUAUACGAUAUCAAAUAAAUGAAAUAUCGGUUUCAGGUUAAACUGGCAUAUAAUCCUGUUUAACUCGUACAUUUAACAGAAUUUUAACAAUUUAUACAAAGGCACAAUUGCUUAAACAAUUUCACUAGAAAUGAAGUUAUGUGGUCUUAGUUGAACUUUAAGCAUUAUAUCCAUAAAAGAAAUAUGGGUAUCAGGUUAAACUGGCAACUAAUCCCCAUUCAUCUCAAAGUUUUAGGGCAUUAAAGAAUGAAUUUAAGCCAUGGGGGAGUGCAUAAGAACACUAAAAUUGAAAAGAAAAGAUAUUGGGAUAAGAACAUUAUCGUGCAAUACGAAGGGAAUAGCGUGUCUAUUUGGGAUAAGAAUCAAUGUAAUAGAGAAUAUGAAUAAUAAAGUAGUUGACUGUAAAAUAGACGCCAUGGCUGGUGAAAUCUUGCAGAACCAGAAUUUCUUUCUUUCCCAAAGCAUCCAACAGGAACAACCACACCGACAUCCAUAGAUUUGAAAAGACAAACCGAAACAAUAUUUCCUAGGGCUGAAAACCCAAAAUCUAUGGAUGAAGCAAGUGAUUCCAAUAUCACAAUAAAAAAAUUAAAAAUAAAAAGCAGAAACGAUUGAGAAGGAAGAGAUGAAAACGGAUUAGAGAGGAAAAUUUUGAAGAGAAAGAGAUGGUGAAGAAAUGGGAAGGAAGGGGAUUUGAAAAGACUGAUGAAAACGGGCAGAAGGAAUCUUCUUCUGCCAACGGUAACUAUUGCUAUUUAAUACACUCAUUUAAUAAAGUGAUAAUUGAGUUAUUUACUUUUCAAAAUUUCAUUUAAUACACUUUUAUAUUCUCAAUAUCUAAAUAUAUUUAUUUUUAAAAUAAUACUAUUUACUAUAUCAAAUAUAUAAAGAAUUAAAAAAAUAUAAUUAAAAUCUGGUAGUUUAACGGUGUUAAAUUUGGUAACUAAUAAAGAAAAACUUAAAAUUUGAGGUGGUUGUUGGAUAUUUCAAACUAAGAAAUGUUAAUUUAUUUAUUACCCAUAUAUUUUUAAUAUAACUAUUUUAAACUUUUCUAGCAAUUCAUAAAUAAUUUUAUUAUUAGAAAAAUUAAUAAAAUAUAUAUCUAAAAAUAUAAAGGAGAAUAUAAAUUUACAAUUUAUAAAUUUUAAAUUGAAAUAUAUUAUUUGAUUGAUGAUUAGAGUUAUCUACGUAUUAAAUUAGAUCAGAUUUCAUAAAUAGCCCAUAUAUGUAGGCAUAUUUAAGAUCUGUAAGUCUAUAUUGGGUCUGGAAUUCUAGGUAUUUCAGUUCUAUUAAUUUUAUUUUAUUUAAUAUACCAACCUAUUUUACAUAAAAAACAAUGAAAGUAUGGCAGCUUAUACUACCAUAGACGAAAGGAGCAUAUCAAUGAGAUUUCAUUUAUGGAUUAGAGGAAACUAUAAAAUAUAACUAAAGGAGGAGGCAGAAAACUUAAAAAAUUUUAGAUAGAAUGAAAUAGUGGCGUGUCUUCUAUAACCUCUAAUGAACACAAUAUCAAUGAAAAGCCCCUAAAUGAAAAGCCCCCAAAUAAAAUUCACAAUCCAAGGAAUAUAAAUAAUCACAGAGUAAACCUGUGACUCAGAAGGCUGUACCUUCUGAACAUCGUUCAUGUAAUACUUCAGUGCCAACUCUAGCAAGAGCCCCACCUAAUCCUUGGCUUAUUCCAUAAACUGAUACCACCUCAAAUACAAAACUCUAAUAUAUUUCCAUUGCAAGCAUCCUAAGCUAAUUGAUUGGACCCCAAAAACAAUGUAACAUCCUUUUGGAUUCAUCAUCUUCUUCCACAGCCUUCUAAGAGGCUUUAACAUCUCUUUCCUCCACCAUAACUGCACCAUUGAUCCUAGUCUUAAUUUCUUCGAUAUCAAAAUUUACAUUCCAAUUUAUAAAUCACAAUUUCUUAAAAUAAGGGUUCUUUUAAGUUCUAUAAAACUAAGAAUAAAAUGCGAAAAUUUCCUUUACAAUUUUUCUAGUUCACCCUUCUAAUAUCCCUUUAAACAAUUUAAUAAUCUUAUAAAUGUGCUAAUGGAAUGUAACCAAUGGCCAUGUCUGAAAAUUGCUUAUUGAAAAAGAACAAAGUUCAUGCCUGAUUAAGGGUGCCAUGCCUCGGAUGUUCCUGGAUGUCGGAAUACAACAAAUUACUAAAUUUGCAAGAAGCAAGAUACAAACUCCAUGCUAUUGUCAUUUAUCCAUAUUAAUAACAUCAAUUCAAUUAAAAAAGCCCCAAAAAGAUUGAGAUUCCAAAUUCAAGCUCAUAUAAUGAAUGACUGUGAUAAUAGCUAUUGAUAUAAUAUUUGAUGUUUAUACAUUAUUUUAGAUAGAAAGAAAGAAAGAAACUUGUAUAGGUGCUCUCCUCUACAGAUGAAAGUUGGAAAAGUGUGGGCCAUUAAACCAAGUUGCCAACUUCACAAACAAGUAAAGCCUCAUAGUAUAGCAAGAUAUUGCCAUCAAUCUUUUUGCACUAAUAAACCUCUUGGUUGAUAGAAAAUAUUAUUCACAUUCCUGAGGACCGAUUUUCAUUAUUCCGUUCUGCAUCAUCUUCUAGAUCAUCCUCAUCUUCAUUGGGAAUGUCUUCGCUGUAAUCAUCUAAUGAACCAAUAGGAAAAACGAUGUCACCUUAAGAAAUUUAAUGGAUUUAGUUCAAUCAACGUGGACGAGGCAAAGUUAUAGCUAUGAUAUGCACAAAGCUCAAAACAUUAGGCGCAUUCAAUGUUCUACCUUGGUUGAAAGCAAAUGAUCAAUUAUCUAUCCCAUUAAACUAUAUUGGAGAGCAUCAGCACCAUAUUAAACACGAGAAGCAAAAGGUAUUCCUAGAUUCAUGUAUACUCUAGGUUUGACUGCAUCACAAUGAAGAUUAACAAAAAGCUGCUAAGUACCGUAUAAAGGGACAAGGCAUCAAAACUGAGUGGGACAAGGUAAAUAGAAAACUCUUUACCCUUUUGAGACAAUGAAGGAGUAUCCCUGGAGUCCGAUGCGUUAUCAAGAACAUAAGGAAGAUCUAGUAAUUCCAAAAAAGAUACAAUCUGAGGAUUACGGGGAGAACCUACAAAAGGUGAGAAAAUUUUAAUAAUUAAAAAAGAAAUCGAGCAAAAACAAAUUGCAAAAGUCAUGAUUAUUCUAGUUGCAAAUCUAAAUAAAAAAGAACGCAUUCACUAACCAACAAUUAAUUGAGCUAAAAGAAGAUAAAAAAUGAAGGAUAGUGUUUCAUAACCACUUUGACAGUAAUAUUGAGAUGCCUAUGGUAUAAAUAUGCAAACAUAUAUGGUAAGUUUCUUAAAUCCAAAAGAUAGAACCAUUAAUGGAGAUACUAUUAGCACCUCAAAGAAGGAAAAGCAUCAAAAUAUCACCAUAUUAUUUACCAGAAAAAUUAAGAAUCAAAGGGUUUGUGAGGUGGAGCUGUUUGAGAAAAUUCACAAGGUUUUAUGGGUAUAAAAAAUGGGUAUUUGGAAGUGACAAAAUUUCGUAUAAAAACAACAACUUGGAGAAAGUGAGAGUGUGAGAGAAAGAACCUGGAAAUCACCAUAACAAAGGAGGAGGUCAAUUUUGAUGUUGCGAGUGUUUUCGAUGUAUUUAAAGGUGUCGUAGACCUUGUCGAGAUCUCCAUGCAUGCACCCUUCCACUGCUAUCUUCAUUGUAGGAAACCUCAGACAGCUAGUCAAGUUGACAUCAAAAUAAAUUAAAUAUUCAGUCGGUAAUUCCAACUAUAAUAAUGAAAUCCUCAUUGGCUUCCACAAUCCAUCCAUUUAUAAACUGUAAUCGCCGAAAACGGCUUCGUAGAUCACAAUGUUUCAGAUCCACAGGUUCCUAUCAGCAAGCGAAACAUGGAAUUUAUAUCGGUCCAAUCAUAGCAUCGCCGGUCACUGCUCUUGGCUACCGGCGACGUGGCAUCGGACCCAAAAAUGAUAGAUAAAAAAAAUCCAUUCAAAAGAAAACCCUCAGAGACCCGUUUCAAAUCACUCACACAGCGGAACACGCUUCGAGGAAGCACUCGCCUGAUUUCCCGACCAACCAUCAAACACCUAAGAACAAAUAUCAGAGGGCUGAGAAUUGGCAGUUGGGAAGACGGGUAUGUUCCUUAGCGAGUUGCCGCCGCUGAUUAAAGUGUCAUACGGCACUUCCUAUCUAUGGGAAUUCUUCCUCACUGGGAUUUCAAACUAUAAAACACUUUUUAUUCUACAUUUCAAAACAAAUUUAAACCAAAACAAAACAAAACAAAAAUAAAGAGUAAAAGGGAGAGUUCCACAGAUAAACCCUAGAAUGACUUGUUCUUUUUAUUAUAUGGCGGAGAAACUUAGUAGGAUUUUAUAAAGAGCAACGGUGUUGAAAGAAACCCUAGAUCUCUAAAUUGGAAAUUGUAGAGAGAUUGAAAUUCAUCAAAUUGGGCUUAUUUUGGUGAUUUUAAAUAAACCGAAAGGGAUUUUCAAGGCCCAAAAUGCUUGAUGUAGGAUGCUCCUACAAACUCCAUAUGCCUAAACUAUUGGUUUUAUUAAUCUGUUUCCAUCCAUUUUAAAAUAUAUAUAUAUUUAAUUUAAAAUAUCAGAAUGUAAAAGUGAAUUAAAACAUAAUGAAAAUAUUUAUAAAAAAAAAAUUGUUAAAAACAUUAUUAAAAAAAUUCAAAAUUUGCUCAGUUAUCCCUAAAUUUGACAUCCUACUUUUAUUGGUUGAAAACAAUUUGGAGUAAUUCCGAGUAUAUUAAACCUUCACCAGCAAAUUCAAUCCCAAACUAGUUUAAUCCCUAUCAAAUAAUAUGAUAUUAUUAUUCAUGUCUUAUUCGAUUACUUUAUAAAAAAAAAAACUAAAUCCAAACGCCUAUAAAAAUUUAUAAAUUUAAUCCACAAAUUGGUACUUAAAUUAUAUAUUUUUUCUCAUCUUUAUACCUAAUCUUUUUAUUUUAUUUUCAUCAAUAAAAUAAAAUAUUUAGAGAGGUUGAGUAAUUGGUUUCAUUAUUAUUAGGGGAGGGAACGGGCCUAUAUCCCUUUAGCGGAAUAAGAACGAAAAUUAACUCAAGGAGGAAGAAAAAAUAUAAAACUAGAUCUUAAAUUCGAACUGCAGAAUAAGAACGAAUAUUAACACCAGUAAACUUAAAAAAUCUGAACCAGAUUCAAAAUAUUUUACUAAGAAAAAAAAUAAAACGAAUAAAAAUAGUAAUUUCUAAACCUGAAAACCAAAAACCAUAAAAUAAACCAAGAAAUAGAAAUAAAAAAGCAUAAUUCUUAAAUUAAAAACAGAAAACAGAAAAUACAAUGUUGAAGCAAUGAUUCAUACCUUAUGAAGCAAGGGAUUCCAAAAAUCUCAAAAAACAGAAACGGCACAAUGUCUUUGCAGUCCUUUAGGCGUCGGUUACAAAAAAGUUAAAAAACAUUAAAAGGAAAAUUUUAAAAUGAGACAGACAAAAUAAAAGAAAGAGUAAAGGGAAAAAAAUGUUAGAAAAAAAAAAGGAAAAUGAAAAGAGAAUAAACUAUUAAAAAAUACCUAUUAUCACAAGUCACAUUAACUGAGACUCCAAAAUCAUGCCAAUUCUCCCAGCCCAAAAAACUAGGACCAUUAUCUCGAAUAGCAAAAAAACAAUGACCCAAUAGAACUAGAACAAAACGAACAAAAAGCCAAUCCAAAAAAAACGAAACCUUCCCAUCUAAACAAACUACCCAAAACAGGAAUGAAAAUGCAAUAAGAUAAAUGAUAAGCAAAAAAACACAUAAUAGUCAAUAAAUUGACUAAAGUACAACAAUACAAACAUCAACAGAUUUGAAAAGAUGAACCAAAACAAUUUUUCAUAAAGUUGAGAACCAAAAUAGUUGCUGGGAAUUGAGAUGUUUUAAUAAUUAAACUAAUCCUUUAAUAACCAAUUCUUCACAUUCUAAGUAAAUAUAUCUUUAAUAAAAAUUAAACUCUCCAUCACUAAUUUCUAAUUUGUAUAUUAUAAAUCGCAAAUAUAAUUAUUCUCUUCAUAAAAUCCGUUCCAUAAAAUAGAGGAUUAUCAAAAAUAUACAUAUCUACUCAGAAGACACGAAUUUUCUUCUCAUAGAUUUUUAAAAAAAUCUCUGAAGUCUGACAUGUGAAUUUAUUUCAUAAUUCAUCACAGCAGAAGUUUUAGAAUAAAGCAUUUUAACAAAAGAUCAAAUCAAAACAAUGUUCAAAAUUAGCUCUCAUUCUUUCUCUUAAAAUUUCUGCUCAUUUCUGCAAAUCGGAAUGGCGUAUAUUGCCCAUAUUAGGCUCAAUAAUCAUAGAGCUAAUCAAAUUAAUUUCUCAACUUGGAUACACAAAUUGAAACUUCUAAUCCAAAAAUAGAAAAAAUAUUGCAAGUUGAAUUUUGAGAUCAGAGUUUGGUAAAAAAAUUUGUCUGUCACUGUUAAUCAGAAACACGGACCAAUUAAACCUCAUCAUAUCUCAAAAUUUUAAAGAAAUUUACAACCAAAAAAAUGGAGAAUUUUUUAAUAAAUUUCAAUAAAUAAAUAAAACAAAGGAGCGAUCAUCAGACUUAAAUACAAGUAAUCAUGGAAUAAAUCCAUUCAUAUCGUUGCAGUUUUUUUUUUCUCAUCAACUGAUCGAUGACAAAUACAAUACGAAGGAAAGAAAUUUUCGGGGAAAUGAAAGCCAUAAACCAUAGAUCUGAAAGCUGAAAGGAAACGAAAUGAAACCUAGUUGUGAAGAAGAGGGGAAGGUGGCGAAAGUCUGGGUUUUCAUGGUAUUUAUAGAUCUAAUUGGGAAGGUCGCGCUAUAAACCCUAGACUGCAACGGCGGCGUUUACCACUGGGACUAGAGAAUUGAAAUGGGCUGAAUUGCUUAAUAAUUGAACCAUAGACAUUACAUUUAUAAUUGUUGAUAGUUCAUCUUCGACCAUUCUCCAAUCAGCUUUUAGCUUAUGAACCACAAUUUCAGCAUAAGGCAACCACUAAGUAGCUUAUUAACAAAUUAAAAGCUAAAAAAUUAAAUAUAAAUUGAAAUAAUAGUUUUUCCUUAAAUCUUUUUGCAAUAUUUCGGAAAAGAAAUUAAAAGAAAGAGGAAAAAGAACCGGGAGUUGAGAAGAGGGUUUGGUUUUCAAAUACAAACAAUCCCAUAGAGCACUCCAUUUUCCAUAGCAGUUAUCCAAAACUCCUUCUCUAUAAUACUGUUGCAAUUGAUGAACCGGAGCUGCCCAACGAAUUAUUGAAUCAAUUCAUAUAAAAAAUUGAAAUUGGUAAAAAAAAAAAAUAGAAAAUAGAGAGAGGGUGGAAUACAAUAGCAAAACCAGAGAGCAUCGAAACAUUUAGUGCAGGACAAGAACCCGAUCCAAAAACCACGAAACCAUCCCAUCUAAACAAACCACCCCAAAACAGGAAUGAAAAGGCAAAAAGAAAAAUGAUAAGCAAAAAAAUACAUAGUAGUCGAUAAACUGACUAAAGAACAACGAUACAAACAUCAACAGAUUUGGAAGGACGAACCAAAACAGUUUUUCUUAACGCUGAGAACCAAAACUUUAACACUUCAGUUUACAGCAUUUAAACACUUCAAUUUGCAGCACUUUAACAUCUCAAUUAACAACAUUUAUACACCUCUAUCACAGCAAUAAAACAUCUCAAUUUCUAGCAACUAAACACUCGCUUUGGAUUUCACUCAAUAAUAUACUCCAAUGGACAUAUUAUAACGAGUCACUGGUUAGCCAUUUCAAGUUUCAAGAAUUCAAUAUUGUUUGGGACAUUUCGUCAAACAAUUCAUGAGUGUCCAAAUACCUAGAAGCACUGAAAGACAAAGGAAGCGGGAAAGUACUAUAAAUGCAAAGGACAAAAAGCAAUAGAGAAAAAAAUCAAUGCCCUUGGAAACAACAGCGAAAACCUACUACUCAUUCUUUAGCAUUUUUUUUCAGUCUCAUAAAAACCAUCAACUCAAUUUCCCUUCAUGUAAGGCUAGGUAACACGGAUGAAUAUAACUCUUUAUCUUUAACCAAAAUCCGAGUAUUUCACCACAUGUAUAUAUCAAUAAUCACAAAAAACUUCCUAUUCAGCUGAUAUACAGAGAUACCAUGGGUUUACCAAAAACUUCCAAUCAAAAUCCAUUCGCACAUCAUACCCAACAGAACACGAACAAUCCCAACUAUUUUAAAGAAAAUAUACCCAAUCCUUACUAAUAAAUGCAAGCACCUAGCAGUAUGAAAAAGAAAACAUAUAUGCAUACACGAAUCUUGACAAUCUCCACCGUAUAUGAUCAUGAAAUCCAAAUCCAAAAAAACCUUUGCAAUUAGCAAAUCGGUUGAAAUUCUACAAUUCUUCAAUCACUAUCAAUACUAACAAGCAUCCCAAUUAGAUUAUUAUUAUUUUUUAAAACUAAAGUACAUAUCAAGAAACAGAAUGUCCCAGACUGGAAUCCUAUAUGCCGGUUUUGAUCGUUUAGUGGGUACUUCGCAUUUCUAUAAAGAAUGGAAAACUAUUGAUAUAAUUAUAUAUGCAUUAUUUAAAUUUCUGCAAAACAAUUAAUUAAAAUAUUUCUAAAAAUAUUCUUAUAAAUAUUAAAUUGGAUCCGACCUGGUUUAUCAUUUAAUAUAAAGGAGUUAAUAUAAAGAACGGUUCGGUGAUUGUAAACUUUAUUGAAAAACCAAUAAUUAAAUCCUAAUAAUAUUUGUUCAUGAAUCUGUCAUUUUUUUUAAGCACCUACUUUUUUUAAUUUAGGUCACCUAUUUAGAAAAUCCUAAUAAUAACCAACUGAUAUAGCAUAAAACAACCAACUAUCAAGCAACUCAUCGUUUCGACAUCUUACCUUAAUUGGCACCAAUGGACACCUUUUAGAUCUAAUAACACAAGCAAUACUGUCAAGCAUUACAAGCUUCUCAACCAACUAUCAUCCUUACGAUAAUUCAUAUCAUUCUAUUUAAUUUAUGGUCAUAUCAUUUCUUAGCAACUCAAACCACGUCCACAACAUCACAAAUAUUGUAACACCCCUUACCCGAGACCAUUUCCGGAGUAGAGCACGAGGCAUUACUUAGCUUAUCUUACUAAUUCGGAGCAUAAAAAACUAGGUUUGAAAAUUUAUUUCAUUAUUCGCAGCAAAUCUGUCCAAUCGCGCAGCAGUUACUAAAUUAAUUAUAACUUGAGAUACAGAACUCGAAAUUUAAUUCCGUAAAUUUUCCCUGAAACUAGACUCAUAUAUCUACUCACCAUAAAAUUUUUAGAAUUUUUGGUUCAGCAAAUUAGUACAGUUUAUUAGUUAAAGUCUCCCCUGUGUCACCACCUGACUGCCCUGACCUCUAGUCACUAAAAAUAAGUUUUCUCACUGUAGGAUUUUCAUAUGAAGUUCUUACUUGUUUCUACAGAAAAUAGACUCAUUAAGGAAUCUAAGCAUGUAAAUUUCAACUCAUAACCAUUUUUGUACAAUUUGUAAUUAUUUUCUAAACUCAAAACAGGGGACUCCAAAAACAGUUCUGACCCUAUCUUACUAAAAUUCACAUAUCUUAAAAUAUAAAUUUCCUUUUUCUACACCGUUAUUUUUCCAUGAAAAUAGAUUCAACAAGCUUUAAUUCCAUAUAUCAUUCACCCUCUAAUUCAUUUUAUACUAUCUUGGGUGAUUUUUCAAAUUCACGUCACUGUGCUGCCUGAAUUCUGUUUCUUUGCAAAAUUUUAUUCUUUCAUGAUUUUCAUGCAUAAUUUAUCACCUAAUCUUUCAUAACAACGAACACCUUCAUCCUUAAUCAUUUUAAUAACCAUAAAUCAUCAAAUACUUACACAUCACUCGUUAGCAAAAUCAUCAUUACAAACAUACAAAAUAACUAAAUCCCUAUACAUGCCAUAACUCAAACGUGUUUCGAUAUAAAAUACCGAGCAGUUGUAGUUGAUAGUGUGGACGAUCUCCGACUUCUUUAGGAUCCUUGAAGUAGCUUUGCAAUACUAUAAGAGAAAGAGAAAUAAAAGAAGUAAGCAUAAAGCUUAGUAAGUUUACUAGCAAAUAAAUAACAAUAUUUAACUUAAAUAAUUAAACUCAAUGUCUAUAUCUCUAGUUUACUCUUUAGUUAAUCUCAUACUAGUUCUCUUACUUGUUUACUUAGAAUACUUGUGUGCAUAACUUACUCAAUCCUUGCUGCAUCGUUGAACAUCAAUUGAUAGUAUAAUAAGUUCUUAAGUCUUACAACUUACCUGAGCUUGCCAUUUAUGCUUUAAACUGAACUUUCAUGAACAUGAUUCAUUUACAAGCCCGUUGAGCUACAUUGGAAUAAUAAGGAUACUCGGGUCUCUUCUGAUAAUAACAUGCCAAAGCCAUGUCCCAGACAUGGUCUUACAUGAGAUGUUCUCGUGAUGGUGCCCAUGCCAUGUCCCAGACAUGGUCUUAUAGGGGACCUCUCAUCUCGGUGCCAACGCCAUGUCCCAGACAUGGUCUUACAUGGGACCUCUCGUCUCGGUGCCCAUGCCAUGUCCCAGACAUUGUUUUACAGGGGACCUCUCAUCUCGGUGCCCAUGCCAUGUCCCAGACAUGGUCUUACAGGGGACCUCUCAUGAUCUUAAGGAUGCCAAUGCCAUGUCCCAGACAUGGUCUUACAUGGGAUCUCUUUACCCAAAUGUCAUGACAUUCGUAUCCAGUACCAUCCUUAUGUAUCAACGGGACUUUUAAAUUUUAAUUCUCUAUCAUUUCAUGCUUGGAUCAUCAUCAAAUAAAUUCAUGAUUGUUGGAAAUUAACAGCAUUAAUAAUAAUUAUUGAAAUAUUGCAUUUAUUUACCGUAAACUUACCUCGGUACCAAUUAUAGCCAAAUUCACCAACUUAGUCUUCAACUUUAUUCUUCCCUUUGUCUAACCUCGAGUUUCGUACUUCUUGAUCUAAAAUAGUAAAUUUAACUUAUUUAAUAAUCACAUUCAUCAAAACAGCCCUCGACUCUAACUUUUUCAAAAUUACAAUUUUGCCCCUAAACUUUUACAUAAUUACAUUUUUGCCCCAAGGCUCGGAAAUUAAACUUCAUCUCUUAUUCUUAUGUUUUAUAACAUUCUGAACAUUUUUCCCUUCUAUGGCAACAUCAAAUUCUCACUCUAACAUGUACUUAUGACUAUUAGGUAUUUUUUACCGAUUAUGUCGUUUUACUCGUUUUCACUUAAAAUCGCUUAGCAAAAGUUAUUUAACAUAAUUUCUAGCUUCAUAUUCUAUCAUAAAACAUCAAAAUAAACACUUUUCACCUAUGGGUAUUUUUCCAAAUAUAAACCCUAGGUUAAAUUAUUGCUAGAAUAAGCUAAAUUAAGCUACCGGGAUCUCAAAAACGUAAAGAACAUUAAAAACGAGGCUUGGGAUCACUUACUAUGGAGCUUGGAAGCUUGAAAACUCUAACUAUGGCUUCCCCCCUUGCUGAUUUCGUUCAUAUGAAGAAGAUGAUGAUUUUUGCCAUCUUUUCCCUUUUAAUUCAUUUUAAUUACUAGAUUACCAAAUUGCCCCUAACUUAAAAAUUUUCUAUUUCACUUAUCUCAUGUCCAUUUUUGUCUACCAAGUUACCAAUGGUAUAAUUACCAUAUAAGGACCUCUAAUUAAAAGUUUCAUAACAAUUGGACACCUCUAACAUGUAGAACUCAACUUUUGCACUUUUUACAAUUUAGUCCUUUUGACUAAAUUGAGUGCCCAAACGUCGAAAUUUUCGAACGAAAUUUUUAAAAAAAUCAUUUUGUGAAAUUGUAGACCAUAAAAAUAUAAGAAAAAUAAAUUUUUUCUCAUCGGAUUUGUGGUCCCGAAACCACUGUUCCGAUAACCUCAAAUUUGGGCCAUUACAAAUAUACCAAUUGCAUAUUUAGCCAACCUACAUUUAUAACGUUCAAGCAACUUAAAUUGCAUCAUUACAAUGACUUAUUUUAUAUCAAUAAUACAACUUAUGUUCGUGAUCAUUUGGACAGUGUAAACGAAUAUUCAGACAGCUUACAAUGACAACAUAACAUGUUUUAAAAUAACAUCAAGUGCAAUUUUGUUUUCUAACUUAUUUUCGACUGCAUUUAAUCACCAAAAAUGAAGUGCAAUAACUAAUUUUAGACUCAUUUAUACACCAAAAUUUACAGCAAUUAAACACUUCAAUUUAAAUCAUUUAAGCACCUCAAUUUACAGCAAUUAAACACUUUAAUUUACAGCAUUUAAACACCUCAACUUACAAUACUUAACAUCCCAAUUAACAACAUUUAUACACCUCAAUCACAGCCAUAAACAUGACAGCGUUUAAAUAGUUCAAUUUGCAGCACUUUAACACUUCAGUUUACAGCAUUUAAACACUUCAAUUUGCAGCACUUAAACAUAUCAAUUAACAACAUUUAUAAACCUCAAUCACAGCAAUAAAACAUCUCAAUUUCUAGCAACUAAACACUCGCUUUGGAUUUCAAUCGAUAAUAUACUCUAACUGACAUAUUAUAACGAGUCACUGGUUAGCCAUUUCAAGUUUCAAGAAUUCAAUAUUGUUUGGGACAUUUUGUCAAACAAUUCAUGAGUGUCCAAAUACCUAGAAGCACUGAAAGCCAAAGGAAGCGGGAAAGCACUAUAAAUGCAAAGGACAAAAAGCAAUAGAAAAAAAAAUCAAUGCCCUUGGAAACAACAGCGAAAACCUACUACUCAUUCUUUAGCAUUUUCAUGUGAGGCUAGGUAACACAGAUGAAUAUAACUCUAUCUUUAACCAAAAUCCGAGUAUUUCACCACAUGUAUACAUCAAUAAUCACAAAAAACUUCCUAUUCAGCUGAUAUACAGAGAUACCAUGGGUUUACCAAAAACUUCCAAUCAAAAUCCAUUCGCACAUCAUACACAACAGGACACGAACAAUCCCAACUAUUUUAAAGAAAAUAUACCCAAUCCUUACUAAUAAAUGCAAGCACCUAGCAGUAUGAAAAAGAAAACAUAUAUGCAUACACGAAUCUUGACAAUCUCCACCGUAUAUGAUCAUGAAACCCAAAUCCAAAAAAAACCUUUGCAAUUAGCAAAUCGGUUGAAAUUCUACAAUUCUUCAAUCACUAUCAAUACUAACAAGCAUCCCAAUUAGAUUAUUAUUAUUUUUAAAACUAAAGUACAUAUUUUUUAAAACUAAAGCAAGCGAAAUAUAUAUAUAUUUAAUUUAAAAUAUCAGAAUGUAAAAGUGAAUUAAAACAUAAUGAAAAUAUUUAUAAAAAAAAAUUGUUAAAAACAUUAUUAAAAGAAUUCAAAAUUUGCUCAGUUAUCUCUAAAUUUGACAUCCUACUUUUAUUGGUUGAAAACAAUUUGGAGUAAUUCCGAGUAUAUUAAACCUUCACCGGCCAAUUCAAUCCCAAACUAGUUUAAUCCUUAUCAAAUAAUAUGAUAUUAUUAUUCAUGUCUUAUUCGAUUACUUUAUAAAAAAAAACUAAAUCCAAACGCUUAUAAAAAUUUAUAAAUUUAAUCCACAAAUUGGUACUUAAAUUACAUAUUUUUUCUCAUCUUUAUACCUAAUCUUUUUAUAAUCUUUUUAUUUUAUUUUCAUCGAUAAAAUAAAAUAUUUAGAGAGGUUGAGUAAUUGGUUUCAUUAUUAUUAGGGGAGGGAACGGGCCUAUAUCCCUUUAGCGGAAUAAGAACAAAAAUUAACACAAGGAGGAAGAAAAAAUAUAAAACUAGAUCUUAAAUUCGAACUGCAGAAUAAGAACGAAUAUUAACACCAGUAAACUUAAAAAAUCCGAACCAGAUUCAAAAUAUUUUACUAAGAAAAAAAAUAAAACGAAUAAAAAUAGUAAUUUCUAAACCUGAAAACCAAAAACCAUAAAAUAAACCAAGAAAUAGAAAUAAAAAAGCAUAAUUCUUAAAUUAAAAACAGAAAGCAGAAAAUACAAUGCAGAAAAACAGAAACGGCACAAUUCUUUGCAGUCUUUUAGGCGUCGGUUACAAAAAAGUUAAAAAACAUUAAAAGGAAAAUUUUAAAAUGAGACAGACAAAAUAAAAGAAAGAGUAAAGGGAAAAAAAUGUUAGAAAAAAGGGGAAAAUGAAAAGAGAAUAAACUAUUAAAAAAUACCUAUUAUCACAAGUCACAUUAACUGAGACUCCAAAAUCAUGCCAAUUCUUCCAGCCCAAAAAACUAGGACCAUUAUCUCGAAUAGCAAAAAACCAAUGACCCAAUAGAACUAGAACAAAACGAACAAAAAGCCAAUAAAAAAAACGAAACCUUCCCAUCUAAACAAACUACCCAAAACAGGAAUGAAAUUGCAAAAAGAUAAAUGAUAAGCAAAAAAACACAUAAUAGUCAAUAAAUUGACUAAAGUACAACAAUACAAACAUCAACAGAUUUGAAAAGAUGAACUAAAACAAUUUUUCAUAACGUUGAGAACCAAAAUAGUUGCUGGGAAUUGAGAUGUUUUAAUAAUUAAACUAAUCCUUUAAUAACCAAUUCUUCACAUUCUAAGUAAAUAUAUCUUUAAUAAAAAUUAAACUCUCCAUCACUAAUUUCUAAUUUGUAUAUUAUAAAUCGCAAAUAUAAUUAUUCUCUUCAUAAAAUCCGUUCCAUAAAAUAGAGGAUUAUCAAAAAUAUACAUAUCUGCUCAGAAGACACGAAUUUUCUUCUCAUAGAUUUUUAAAAAAAUCUCUGAAGUCUGACAUGUGAAUUUAUUUCAUAAUUCAUCACAGCAGAAGUUUUAGAAUAAAGCAUUUUAACAAAAGAUCAAAUCAAAACAAUGUUCAAAAUUAGCUCUCAUCCUUUCUCUCAAAAUUUCUGCUCAUUUCUACAAAUUGGAAUAGCGUAUAUUGCCCAUAUUAGGCUCAAUAAUCAUAGAGCUAAUCAAAUUAAUUUCUCGACUUGGAUACACAAAUUGAAACUUCUAAUCCAAAAAUAGAAAAAAUAUUGCAAGUUGAAUUUUGAGAUCAGAGUUUGGUAAAAAAAUUUGUCUGUCACUGUUGAAUCAGAAACACGGACCAAUUAAGCCUCAUCAUAUCUCAAAAUUUUAAAGAAAUUUACAACCAAAAAAAUGGAGAAUUUUUUAAUAAAUUUCAAUAAAUAAAUAAAACAAAGGAACGAUCAUCAAACUUAAAUACAAGUAAUCAUGGAAUAAAUCCAUUCAUAUUGUUGCAGUUUUUUUUUCUCAUCAACUGAUCGAUGACAAAUACAAUACGAAUGAAAGAAAUUUUCGGGGAAAUGAAAGCCAUAAACCAUAGAUCUGAAAGCUGAAAGGAAACGAAAUGAAACCUAGUUGUGAAGAAGAGGGGAAGGUGGCGAAAGUCUGGGUUUUCAUGGUAUUUAUAGAUCUAAUUGGGGAGGUUGCACUAUAAACCCUAGAUUGCAACGGCGGCGUUUACCACUGGGACUAGAGAAUUGAAAUGGGCUGAAUUGCUUAAUAAUUGAA
rnacentral:lncRNA from 1 species